rnacentral:rRNA from 1 species
GACGAACCGUCCUAACGUUGUUCGGAAUCACUGGGCUUAAAGGGCGCGUAGGCGGUCGGCAUAGUCAGGGGUGAAAUCUUUCGGCUCAACCGGAAAAGGGCCUCUGAUACUAGUCGACUAGAGGGAGACAGGGGCAAUUGGAACUUCCGGUGGAGCGGUGAAAUGCGUUGAUAUCGGAAGGAACGCCGGUGGCGAAAGCGAAUUGCUGGAUCUCUUCUGACGCUGAGGCGCGAAAGCUAGGGGAGCAAACGGG